ACUUGGUGGCGCCUUCCUCAGGCUCUGCUCCACAGCUUUCUUGGCCACUUUCUGGUUAGUUGUUGAAGGUAUCAACAACAAUUUUCUUUGUGCCGAGUAAUUUCCUUCAAUAUUUACUAAAGAUGAAGAAGAGCACAUGAAGAUGAUCUGGAAGAGAAUCAAGGCUACCAAAAGUACUCUGGAAUAAUUGAAGUACUGGAUCUUCUUCAUAUUGGUGUUGUUAGAAAUUAAGUGAUCAGAGCAAUUGAAGCUCAUUAAUUCAUCAG
rnacentral:lncRNA from 1 species